UUGCCGCCUGCCCUGCACGCGGUGCAGAGGCACGCAAUGCCUUCUGUUUUUAUACAGCAAAUAUGAGAAAAGUAUCUUUUAUUUCUCCAAGCUGAUGAUUUACAGAAUUUCACAGCAGUUUUGCAUUAGAGGACUGGACGCAUCUGUGCCACCUUCUCUUUCUCAGCACUGCUGGUCUUUUCUGCUCCUGUUCACCUGCUGUUAAGCUCACACGUCCUGAAUCCCUCGCAUGAAGGUGGAAGAAGGGACCUGAGCAGAAGAGUCCUACUUUCUCAGUUUUGCCAAAGAGAUCUCAGAUUAGAGCACUGGCAUUGCACGUGGUUUGGAAUGUUUCUUGAGCAUGAAAGGUUCUAGGAGACUGCAAGCCCCCUGGCUGAUCUACAGCUCACACAUGUUGUUAAUUAAAGCAUCACUGAUUUCAUGCACCUGGCUGAGCUCUUUAGUGGAAGGCAGAAACUGGGAAGUUACUCUGUUUGUGUGGUGUUGUACUCCAGAACAAAAGCAGCAAAAUGGAGAUGAGACUAGAAGAAAACAAAUGUGUGAGCAGCAUAAGGUGAAUACGCAGACAAUUGUGUGGGGGAAAAUGGCGCGACGGAUGAAUGAUUGGAGGAGCAUAGCAGUGGGAGCUGAAAUACACGCCUACAGGAAAUACGUGCAUACCACAAAGACAAGUUUAACGCAUAGCCGCCCAGGUUAAGUGUAAGGAAUCUAGGUAUGGUGCAAGUCACAACGUAGUCACAACAGCCGAGGGUUCUGCUCGG
rnacentral:lncRNA from 1 species